rnacentral:rRNA from 1 species
AUGAUCCCGUCUCCCGCUCGAAUCCUCAUCUUCCUCCUACCCACCCCAAGUCUCAUACCCCCGCCACCCGUCAGGCGGCCGCACAGAGCCUGGGCCGGAACCGCCCGCUGCGCCCCGGAGGCUGUCGCCGGCGGGGGCUUCGUCGUCAUUGAGGACGACCUCUCUGAGCUUCUGCAGAUUCUACCUAGGGAUUUACGAGAUAAUCUGCAGAAUGAACCUAGAAGGGACCAGCUGUUGGAGGUUAUUCUAGAUUUGGGGAGACGACCCGAGGCACGUUUCCUUGGUAAUUCUGGUGGCCAGUAUCUACGGGAUAACGAGAUUUCACAGCUAGAGUUGGAGGAAGCUCAGAGAGCUGUUGGAGAAUUUGGAGGUGACAACCGUGCAGGAAUUGAAGGUACAUUGCAUAGAAUAUCUGCAAUAAGGAGUAGAAAAGGAAUGGUUGUUGGUUUGACCUGUCGAGUUGGCCGUGCCGUCAAUGGGCAUGUUGAUAUGGUCCGUGAUCUUUUAAACUACAAAGAGAGCAUUCUGUUUUUGGGAAGACCUGGGGUUGGCAAGACUACUGUUAUGCGUGAAAUUGCACGUGUUUUAGCGGACGAGUUCCAGAAAAGGGUGGUAAUUGUAGAUACAAGUAAUGAGAUUGGUGGGGAUGGGGACAUUCCUCAUGCUGCAAUUGGUGGCGCAAGAAGAAUGCAAGUACCUGAACCAUCAAUGCAACAUAGAGUGAUGAUUGAAGCAGUUGAAAACCAUAUGCCUGAGGUGGUCAUUGUAGAUGAGAUUGGAACUGAGGCAGAGGCGCAAGCCUGUCGGUCAAUUGCAGAAAGGGGUGUAAUGCUUAUUGGUACUGCCCAUGGAGAAAGGCUUGCAAACAUCAUAAAGAAUCCAGUUUUAUCUGACUUGGUUGGAGGAGUAGAAACUGUCACUCUUGGCGAUGAGGAAGCACGUGCACGACGUACUCAAAAAAGUAUACUGGAGCGGAAGGCCCCUCCAACAUUUCCUUUUCUUAUUGAGAUGAGGGAGCGACACUAUUGGGUCACUCAUCGGACUGAGAGGAGUGUCGAUAUGCUACUUCAUGGCAAGAAGCCACUAGUUGAGGUCAGGAAAAGGGAUAACGAGUUUGAGGUUAUCAUUGAAAGAUGGGCAACAUAUGAUGGAGAUGGACUCUGA